AGACUGAGGAAUUCUUCACCUCAUAUGAUGAGGUUUUUGAGAGCUUCGAUGACAUGGGCCUCCAAGAGAACCUUCUGAGAGGCAUUUAUGCUUAUGGUAGGAUGGAGGCCUAUUUUGUUUUAGGUUGUUUACCGUAGGUGGUAAUCCUCUUACAAGGUCAUUCUUUGUUGUGUAGGUUUUGAGAAGCCUUCAGCAAUUCAGCAGAGAGGAAUUGUACCUUUCUGCAAGGGCCUUGAUGUCAUUCAGCAAGCACAAUCAGGUACAGGAAAGACAGCAACUUUCUGUUCUGGGAUCUUGCAGCAGCUCGACUAUGGCCUGGUUGAAUGCCAGGCCUUGGUCCUUGCACCCACCCGUGAGCUUGCACAGCAGAUUGAGAAAGUCAUGCGCGCGCUUGGUGACUACCUGGGUGUGAAAGUUCAUGCAUGUGUGGGUGGAACUUCAGUCCGUGAGGACCAAAGGAUUCUUGCUAGCGGCGUGCAUGUUGUUGUUGGGACACCUGGACGUGUGUUUGACAUGUUGCGUAGGCAGUCUCUCCGUCCUGAUCACAUCAAGAUGUUUGUCCUGGAUGAAGCUGAUGAGAUGCUUUCUCGUGGUUUCAAGGAUCAGGUAAACUGUUUGUUCUUUUCUAUUUAGUUCUCUAAUUCUUAUUCUUUACUAAUUUUUUUGGUUGUAUAUACCUUUUGUAAUCUUAAAGCAUGCUUGAGUAUCUUUAAUGACUGGUUUGCUUGGUUGAAGAAAUGAAGGUGUUUGUUGCAUUUUCAUGGAUGUCAAAGUUUUGUUCACUACUGACUGCAUGUAGUUUGCUAUUCAAUUACAAUUGCAGUAUUAUCUUUGGAUGUUCUAGGCUACAAGACAUGCUUCAGAUGGCUAAUCUUGUGCCAACUAAGUUGCAUAAAAAAUUAUUUCUUUGCCCUGUGCUUAUUAUGAUAUUCUAACUGAAACUGAAACAUUCUAAAAGAAUGAGUGUCAUAAUUUUUUUUUGAUUUAUGCCUCAACCAAAAUCAGUAAUUCAUGGUGUGGUAUCCUGUCUUUGUUAAAUGCAGAUUUAUGACAUCUUCCAGCUUCUCCCAUCCAAGAUUCAGGUUGGAGUCUUCUCUGCUACCAUGCCCCCAGAGGCUCUUGAGAUUACCCGCAAGUUCAUGAACAAACCUGUGAGAAUCCUUGUGAAGAGAGAUGAGCUCACCCUUGAGGGUAUCAAGCAGUUCUAUGUGAAUGUGGAGAAGGAAGACUGGAAGCUGGACACACUAUGUGACCUGUACGAGACCCUUGCCAUCACCCAGAGUGUCAUCUUUGUCAACACCCGCCGCAAGGUGGACUGGCUCACUGACAAGAUGAGGAGCAGGGACCACACUGUUUCUGCCACUCACGGUGACAUGGAUCAGAACACUAGGGACAUCAUCAUGAGGGAGUUCAGGUCUGGUUCAUCCCGUGUGCUCAUCACCACCGACCUGCUUGCCCGUGGUAUCGAUGUUCAGCAGGUGUCCUUGGUCAUCAACUACGAUCUCCCCACCCAGCCUGAGAACUACCUGCAUCGCAUUGGUCGUAGUGGUCGUUUCGGUAGGAAGGGUGUUGCCAUCAACUUUGUGACCCGUGAUGAUGAGAGGAUGCUGUUUGACAUACAGAGGUUCUACAACGUGGUGAUUGAGGAGCUGCCUGCCAACGUCGCUGACCUUCUGUGAUCAAGUUGAAGAAAAAACAAAACAGAACAAAAAAAAAGUGGUAAGGGGACCUGAUAAGGCUUGUUUUUGUUGAAAUAUCGCCAUAUGU
rnacentral:lncRNA from 1 species